UACGUAGGGUCCAAGCGUUAUCCGGAAUCACUGGGCGUAAAGGGCGCGUAGGUGGUUUGAUAAGGGUGUGGUGAAAGUCCGGGGCUCAACCCCGGAUCUGCCGUGCCGACUGUCAAACUCGAGGGCUGUAGAGGCAGACGGAAUUCCGGGUGUAGCGGUGGAAUGCGUAGAGAUCCGGAGGAAGACCGGUGGCGAAGGCGGUCUGCUGGGCAGUUUCUGACACUGAGGCGCGACAGCGUGGGGAGCAAACAGG
rnacentral:rRNA from 1 species